UACGGAGGGUGCAAGCGUUGCUCGGAAUUAUUGGGCGUAAAGGGCAGGUAGGUGGUCUUAUUUGUCAGGGGUGAAAGCCUCGAGCUCAACUCGAGAAGUGCCCCUGAAACGGUAAGACUAGAGUACUGGAGAGGGUCGUGGAAUUCCCGGUGUAGCGGUGAAAUGCGUAGAGAUCGGGAGGAACACCAGAGGCGAAGGCGGCGACCUGGACAGUUACUGACACUCAACUGCGAAAGCGUGGGGAGCAAACAGG
rnacentral:rRNA from 1 species